AAAAGAAGGGGAAAAGAAGAAGGCUGAGAAGAAAGUUACUUCUGAAACAAAAAAGAAAGCAGAAAAAGAAGAUAUCAAAAAGAAAAGUGAGAAGGAAACUGCCAUUGAUGUGGAAAAAAAAGAGCCGGGAAAAGCUUCUGAAACCAAACAAGGGACUGUAAAAAUUGCAGCACAAGCAGCUAAGAAGGAUGAAAAGAAGGAAGAUUCCAAGAAAACAAAAAAACCUGCAGAAGUAGAACAACCCAAGGGAAAAAAACAGGAAAAGAAAGAAAAACAUGUGGAACCAGCAAAGUCACCAAAGAAAGAACACUCAGUUCCAAGUGACAAACAAGUAAAAGCAAAAACUGAACGAGCCAAAGAGGAGAUUGGUGCGGUUUCAAUUAAAAAAGCUGUACCUGGAAAGAAGGAAGAGAAAACAACCAAGACAGUGGAGCAAGAAAUUAGAAAAGAAAAAUCUGGGAAGACUUCUUCAAUUCUGAAAGAUAAAG
rnacentral:lncRNA from 1 species